rnacentral:rRNA from 1 species
AGUGAACGCUGGCGGUAGGCCUAACACAUGCAAGUCGAACGGCAGCACAGUAAGAGCUUGCUCUUACGGGUGGCGAGUGGCGGACGGGUGAUGAAUACAUCGGAAUCUACUUUUUCGUGGGGGAUAACGUAGGGAAACUUACGCUAAUACCGCAUACGACCUACGGGUGAAAGCAGGGGAUCUUCGGACCUUGCGCGAUUGAAUGAGCCGAUGUCGGAUUAGCUAGUUGGCGGGGUAAAGGCCCACCAAGGCGACGAUCCGUAGCUGGUCUGAGAGGAUGAUCAGCCACACUGGAACUGAGAGACGGUCCAGACUCCUACGGGAGGCAGCAGUGGGGAAUAUUGGACAAUGGGCGCAAGCCUGAUCCAGCCAUACCGCGUGGGUGAAGAAGGCCUUCGGGUUGUAAAGCCCUUUUGUUGGGAAAGAAAAGCAGCAGGUUAAUACCCCGCUGUUCUGACGGUACAAAAAGAAUAAGCACCGGCUAACUUCGUG